UGGUCAAGUUAUUAAGGGUGCAGGGUGGAUGCCUUGGCACUAGGAGCCGAUGAAGGACGUGAUAAGCUGCGAUAAGCUUCGGGGAGUUGCACGUAAACUUUGAUCCGAAGAUUUCCGAAUGAGGAAACUCACUUAGAGUAAUGUCUAAGUAUCAUUAAGUGAAUACAUAGCUUAAUGAGGGGAACUCAGGGAACUGAAACAUCUAAGUACCUGAAGGAAGAGAAAGAAAUUCGAUUCCGUAAGUAGCGGCGAGCGAACGCGGAUUAGCCCAAACCAAUAAAGUUUUCUUUAUUGGGGUUGCGGACAUAUCAUAACGAAGAGGUAUCGUAAUUGAAGAGGUUUGGAA
rnacentral:rRNA from 1 species